CAAAACUCAAAAUCUGUUUUAGGCGCCUCAGCAAUCCUUGUAGCCCAUGAAAUCAACAUCAUCAAAGAACCACAGGCAAGGGACAAAGUUGAAGUCAACCAAGGGUAAGGGUAAGCAUUCAAAACCUUCUUGUUAUAAAUAUUGAAAACAACAUUUAAAGCCCACCAAGUUGCAAAAUAAAUCCCAAUUUUCACCCUUUUUGCAGCUUCUGAUUUCACUUCCUCAGCUGCAGCCUCAAUAGGCUGGGACUUAUCAGCUUCAUAAGCCCUGCACUUGAUCACGGGUUCUUUAUCCUUCCCAAUAAUCUCAACAGC
rnacentral:lncRNA from 1 species